GUCAUAAUGUCACCGAUUAGAAAGUUCUUUGCUCUCCUGCUGCUAAGUGUUUUGGUUUUUCUUCAGCCACUUGGAGACCAUGUUACAGUUUGUGUGCACGUUCACAACAGUUUGGUCUGAUCAAGCUUUGUCUUAGGAAACUGGGAUGUGCAUCUUAUGGUCUUUGAUGGAAAGGGGGUGGAUCUUCGUGCUUGGAGAGACUGGAGAGGUUGCCUUGGUUCCCUUUUCAACUCCUCUGGUGGGUUGAGAAUAAACUUUACUGAUUCAGUGGUAGCAGUAGCAUGACUGUCAAUAUAGUGUCAAUAUAGCACUUUUUGGUUUCCAGAGCCCAUUUAUUGUACUUUUGUCAUCCUCAUAAUCAUCGUGGGGUCAGGGGGUGGGGAGCACCCCAGCAUGUAGCGUACGGACGUAUUUGCAUUUGCAAUCUCCUGGAAAGAGGACGGAAUCUAGAGUUUGAUGAAGUGGCACUGAGACUGGUAGGACUGGCAAGACUCAGGCUUCAUGUGUGCCCUGAUGGCAGCAUCCCAGGCUGUACUGCCUCUGAUUCCUUCUAUUCUCCAUGGAGGCUGAUGAUUGGGGAGUUGUGUACCCAGCCCACUAGCAUUUAAGGAAAGCCGGCAGAGCUGGGAGCCACCAUGCCCACUGAAUAAGUCCCUCUUCACUGUCCUAUGGAGGGACUUCUGAGUUGUCCUCAGCAGGUUAUGCCUCAUUGAUACUUGGCACAGCCCAGAGGGAUGGUGAUUUCUCUCUUGGGCAUUGGGCUUGGGAGACGAAUGGGCAUUGUAAAGGAAUGAAAGCCUCUCUGCGUCAGUCUUUGCAGAGGAUGGUAAUGAGUCCAAAGGGCCCCCUCAGGUGCCAUGCUGUUACAGUGCUCCUGCCAAUGCAUAUUUCUGCCAUUAGGCCCGAUGUGGGUACGGUUCAACCCUGCAAUGGAUAAGAAGGGCUCUUUGCACAAGUAGGACAUGUGAGAAAAACAUUCAUUGAGCACUUAUUGUGUUCCAGGCAAUGUGUUGACCACUUUGGUCUCCUCCUGCUUAGAGGAACAGGAUCUAUUUUCCUAUUUUAGGGUGAAUCAACGGAGUCUGGAGAGUCCAGUGUUUUCUCAGUGUCAAUUAAGCUAGUUUGCUGCAAAAGAUUAGAUAAUAGGGGUUGGUCUCCUCCCCUCUCUCCCAAAGAGGGUGUAAAGUAAGGGUAUGAAAAGGUACCAUUCUAAAGAGGUGGUCAGGAAAGUCAGGGCUGACAGACAGGAUUGUGAGGAGUUCAGGCAAGGGCAGUGUUUUUGACCAGAUGAGGUGUAUGAUUGGAACUAGUUUUAAGCGAAUCACAGUUGAGCAAAAAGGCAGAGACCAGUGAGGGGCUGGCACAGAGGUCCACAGACGACAUGAUAGUGGCAUAGAACAAUAGGGUAGGCGUGGUAAUAAUGAGUGGCCAAGUUCUGCAUCUUAUUUGAAACUAGAGGUCACAGGAAUCCAGACAGAUUGGAUGGGGGAGGCAAUGUGUGAGCCCAGACUGGGGGCAAGAGUAAGGUAGGAAAACAGCUUCAUCACUGCAUCUUCCUCACAACUACAGGUCAGACAAUGCAAACAGCAUUUGGAAGGACAUUUAUAAAUUUGUGGAUGAUCUGGUGAAGAGGUUUCCAAAUUCAAAAAUGAGGAUGUCCUUAAUCACCUACUCCACACAGAGCGACACCAUCAUGAAUCUCACCUCUGACAGAACUAAAAUACAUAAUAGUCUUGAAAAAAUUCAGAAUAUAGUGCCUACCGGAGCCGCAAACAUGCAUGAAGGAUUUAAAAAGGCAAAUGAGCAGAUUGAAAAAGCAAUCUAUGGAGGCAACAAUGCUCCCAGUCUGAUUAUUGGUCUGACUGCAGGACCACUGACACCAAGGACAUUUGAGGAGACUAAGUCUGAAGCUGAGAAGGCUCGUGAAAGGGGCGCCAAAGUUUAUUCUGUGGGUGUAAAAGACUAUAAGAAUGACCAGCUAAAAGACAUUGUAGAAAGAAAUGACCAAUUUUAUGGGGUAAACAGUGGAUUCGAGUCCCUGGAAGACAUCGUUAACAUGCUGGUGGUAAAUUCCUGUCAUGAAAUUAUGGCUGGGGAGAGUUACUUUGUUUGUGUAGGAGAAGAAUAUGAUAUGAGAUUUUAUGAUCCUGACUUACAUCAACACACGAUGGAUGAAUUUGUUUGCAGAUAUAAGUUGGAUGUCGACAAUAUCCUCCAUAAAAAACCUCUACUUAAGGAUGAUGAAUCUUUAGCUUGCCCAGGACAUGUAUUUAAGGAGCCUGGACAGGUGGUCAUCGUUCAAUACAGCCUGAACAAUGGCGUCACCUUCAUUGAGGAGAGCAUGAAAGUAACCAGCCUGAAUUGUGGCAAUACAUCAGAGCCCACAGAUGCCCCAAAGGAGGAGACUUCGGUCCCCACAGUUGGCACACAGAAGACAACAGUGCCCACAGUUGUCACACAGGAGGCACCAGCACCCAUGGAUGUCACAGAAAAGCCUACCCUUGACUACCUAUUCCCAUUGUUCGUCCCAACCCUGAUCAUUAUCGUGGUGGUGAUCUGCUGUCUCUGUUGCUGCAGGAAGCCCUGCAAGGAGCUACCAGUGCAGAAGAUAGUAAUGAAGCCAGAGACAUGUAUACAGACACGUACCCCGGUGAUUGUCCCUUCUUGUAUGUACCAGGAAGACACUAUAAGACGGAUAGAGGGCAAACUGGACACCUUGUGUGACUUUGUGCAAAGCUGCAACCAGAUCCCAUUGAUGUGGUGUCAGCCCAGGAACGCGGGGAAGUAUAUCAUCUUCAACUUCGUGAAUCCCCUCUGCGGGCAGUUGCCCUAUAGCCCAAACAUUUGCCUUCCACCCAGCCAGGAGUGCUUUCCUCUCAACAGCUGCUGCUCACAAUGCCAACACCCCUCCUUCAUAUGCUCCCAGCCACCCUCCAGGAUGCUGUCACUGCUCCCUCCUCCUGCCCAUGCACUCUCCAGAACUACUUUGUCACUCCCACCCCCAUAACCCAGCCUCUAAAGUCCCCAGGACCCAAGACUGUUAAGAGCUCUUUGUGUACCAAAUUGGAUAUAUAUAUAUUGAGUCUUGGUUUACGAUCAAAGGAGUUGGAAUUGUGGCUGAUCAACAAGAAUUUGUUGCCUGGUUAACAAUAAUUGGUGAUCAGAAGUGGGAUCUAGAGAAGACCCCCAACAAUUCCAAGGCUGGUGAGCAAACAGAUGGUGGUACCCCCAGAGCUAAUUGGACUCACUGCUUUCUUGCCAACCCUGGAGUUUGAGGGUCAGAAAGUACAAAGAAGUCCUGGAAGGACAUUCACAAAUUUGUGGAGGAAGUGGUGAAGAGGUUCACAAAGUAGCAUAAACCUACGGAUCUCCAUAAUCACCUAUGCCUCAUAUGGCUUCACCCAUUUACGACUCAACAAAGACAGGGGGAAAGUAGGAAACAUUCUUAAAGACCUUAAGAAUCUAGAGCCUUCAGGAGAGACAAACAUAAAGUAUGCAUUUAUGGAGGUACCAAAUCUAGAGCUCUGAGGAUCUCUGCUUUCUGGAGUUCUUAGAGUAUCCUGGGUCCUCCCACUGCCCCCGCCAACACUCCUUCAUUUCCUAGCAGUCAAAUGAGCAGAUUAAUAAUCAGUGGC